CCGUUGCUAUUAACUGGGCGCUUACUACUUGCCUGGAGUGCUUUGUUAAUACAACAAUCCUAGGAUUUAACCCUCACCUCAGUUUCCCCAUAUCGAUUUAGAAACUGGCACACUGAAGCGAAGCAACUCGCCCAAGGUCACCUAGGAGGCGAGAGGUGGAAACAGAAUUGGACUCCAAAGCCAGCGUCCCUAACCACUAGACUAGACAGCCUUGGUUCCCACGUCCGAGACCUUGCCGGCUGCCGGCUCUCGGCCGCGGCGCAGCUCCCCCGGCCCGAGGAGCCCUCGGCCGCUGCGGGAGUGGGAGGCGCGCGCUUGCCGGCCAAGUCGGAGAGGAGGAGGGGCGCUCGCCGCCCGCAGCCGAGGCAGGGGCUGGCGGCGCUCGGCCGGCUCUCGGUCCCCGCAGCACCCGGGCCUCCCCGCGGUCCAGGUCCGAGCCUUGCUCCUGACCCAUUUACCUCCGGACAACCUCCCUCCUCCCCCGCCUAGCAGACUUCUAGGACUUCUCUAGGACUUCUCUCCGGAAGACUGAUAUCGCUACCUAGGAAUGUGAACAUUGGAACAAUAAUGUGCAAGGGAGGGCACUACUGGAAUCUGAAGAUGUAUCAGUUGCUGGAGAGCAUCCUCUGUGAUCCCAGAUACACAAUGAGAAGGCAAAAUUAAUGUCGAACAUACUCAAGACAUAGCAGGCUCUCAACAAAAAAUUAUUGCAUCAAUAAGGAACAAGCACUGGACUUUCUAAAUCUAUAAUGUCCCCAUUCUAUUCUCAACUCAAGGCACAAGCAUGAUUAGUUCAGUGGUUGAUGAGCAAACACCAGAUUAAGGUGAAAACUAACAGUAGUUUUUGGCCAUUUUUCCGUUUUUAAAUUUGACUUUGCUUUCUGCUGAUCCAGGAUGCAAUCAGUAGGUUAUAGCUGAGAUCUAAAUAGAUGAAAUGAAUUGCAGAUUCUUACCUUUAUAUUCCAGUGUGAAUUUAACACUUUGAAAAGAGAUGAACCUGAGUAAUUAAUUUAACAAACAUGUAUUAAGUCCUCACAAUGUGUCAGGUGUGGGAAUGCUGACUGGUAUCAUAACUGAUUUUGAACAAAUGUUUAACAUUCAAAAAUUAAUGAUUUUUUUGUAUACUAGGCCUAACCAAAUAUGACAGACUGAUAGAACUGCAAAGAACUAUGUUGGUAUGUGGCCAGAUUCAGGAUCUCUAAAUUCUCGAAUGCCAUUUUUCAGCAAUUACCACGAGAGAUUAGAACCUGAAUGAUAUGAUGCAUCGAACUAGAUA